CAAGAAUAUUAGUCAAUGCUCGCAAGAGUGAACUAGCUAACUGAAAUCAUAUAAGUGUCUUAUGUGAUGUCGUAAGGGAAAAUAAUGAUAUUACCUUACUAAUAGUGUCGUCUAAAACUGGUGCCAGAAGACUCGGUAAGGCCAGAGACACAAAUGUUAAUCAUCUUAAUCAGGCGUAAAGGGUUUGUAGGCUGCUUUGAAAGUAUUUCUUUAAUAUAGCCAAAAGUAAAGAAGUAUGAAUUAAAGCUAGAAUCUAAUAGAGGAUAUUUAAAAAAUAAUGCUUGAUUUAGGGCUGAGAUCCGUAAACAUCAAGUGGAGUUCCAAGAGCGUAAGCAUUUAUCCAUUAAAGAUUGACGCUGAGAAACGAAGGUGAGGAUAGGAAAUAGGAUUAGAGACCCAGAUACCCCUCUCUGUCAACGAUGAAUGGUAGUUGUUAGUUUAGUAAACUAGUGACGUAGUUAACACGUUAACCAUUCCGCCUUGUGAGUACGACUGCAAAGUUGAAAACAAAAAAAUUAGUCGGUCUCGGAGCAAACGAAGUGAAGUAUGUUAUUUAAUUC
rnacentral:rRNA from 1 species